AUACGGAGGAUCCGAGCGUUAUCCGGACUUAUUGGGUUUAAAGGGUGCGCAGGCGGCCAUUUAAGUCAGCGGUUAAAUCGUGGGGCUCAACCCCAUUCUGCCGUUGAUACUGGGUGGCUUGAUUGCGGUCGAGGUUGGCGGAAUUCGUUGUGUAGCGGUGAAAUGCAUAGAUAUGACGAAGAACACCGAUUGCGUAGGCAGCUGACCAGACCGCAAAUGACGCUCAUGCACGAAAGUGCGGGGAUCGAACAGGAUUAGAUACCCUGGUAGUCCGCACAGUAAACGAUGAAUACUUGUUUUCGGCGAUAUAAUGUCGGAGGCAAAGCGAAAGCGAUAAGUAUUCCACCUGGGGAGUACGCCGGCAACGGUGAAACUCAAAGGAAUUGACGGGG
rnacentral:rRNA from 1 species